rnacentral:rRNA from 1 species
AUUGGACGCUGGCGGCGUGCCUUACACAUGCAAGUCGAACGGCAGCACGGGUGCUUGCACCUGGUGGCGAGUGGCGAACGGGUGAGUAAUACAUCGGAACGUACCUUAUCGUGGGGGAUAACGCAGCGAAAGCUGUGCUAAUACCGCAUACGCCCUGAGGGGGAAAGCGGGGGAUCGAAAGACCUCGCGCGAUUAGAGCGGCCGAUGCCUGAUUAGCUUGUUGGUGGGGUAAAAGCCCACCAAGGCGACGAUCAGUAGCUGGUCUGAGAGGACGAUCAGCAACACUGGGACUGAGACACGGCCCUGACUCCUACGGGAGGCAGCAGUGGGGAAUUUUGGACAAUGGGGGCAACCCUGAUCCAGCAAUGCCGCGUGAGUGAAGAAGGCCUUCGGGUUGUAAAGCUCUUUUGUCAGGGAAGAAACACCGGCUCUAACACAGUCCGGGAAUGACGGUACCUGAAGAAUAAGCACCGGCUAACUACGUGCCAGCCGCCGCCGUAA